GAAGAAGAAAGAAAGUGGCCAAUAAAAGCCUCUGCAACGAAUCUCGGUGUGGUCAGUUCUUCAAACUGCGGGCAGUUUGAGCGGCUCCGGCAUAAGAGGAUAGUAAUCAAGAUCCACACUGACGAGGCUGACAACGUAUGGAAGAUUUCUUAUUUCCAAGGCAGAAGUUUAAAAAAAAAAAAAGGUGGUGAAAUUAGAUUAUGUUCUGAAAACGUCCCUCAGGAAAUAAAUGCAUGCCUUUCACCUUCGUUUCACAGCACAAAAUAAGUUACUUCAAAGAAGUAGCACUGAAAACAACUAAGAAGAAUGCUAGCAGCUGUAAGUAACAUCAACGAAUUCUCAAUAAGAGUCCAAC